AUCAACGCUGGCGGCGUGCCUCAGACAUGCAAGUCGAACGAUUAAAGCUCUCUUCGGAGAGUGUAUAGAGUGGCGCACGGGUGAGUAACACGUAAGUAAUCUACCUUCGAGUGGGGAAUAACCCGGGGAAACCCGAGCUAAUACCGCAUAAUGCAGCGGCAUCGCAAGAUGACAGUUGUUAAAGGAAUUUAUUUCGCUUGAAGAGGAGCUUGCGGCAGAUUAGCUUGUUGGUAAGGUAACGGCUUACCAAGGCUACGAUCUGUAUCCGGUCUAAGAGGACGGUCGGACACACUGACACUGAAUAACGGGUCAGACUCCUACGGGAGGCAGCAGUCGGGAAUUUUGGGCAAUGGGCGAAAGCCUGACCCAGCAACGCCGCGUGAAGGAUGAAGUAUUUCGGUAUGUAAACUUCGAAAGAAUAGGAAGAAUAAAUGACGGUACUAUUUAUAAGCUCCGGCUAACUACGU
rnacentral:rRNA from 1 species